rnacentral:rRNA from 1 species
AUUGAACGCUGGCGGCAGGCUUAACACAUGCAAGUCGAACGAGUGGCGGACGGGUGAGUAAUGUCUGGGAAACUGCCCGAUGGAGCGGGAUAACUACUGGAAACGGUAGCUAAUACCGCAUACCAUCGGAUGUGCCCAGAUGGGAUUAGCUAGUAGGUGGGGUAAUGGCGCACCUCGGCGACGAUCCCUAGCUGGUCUGAGAGGAUGACCAGCCACAAUGGAACUGAGACACGGUCCAGACUCCUACGGGAGGCAGCAGUGGGGAAUAUUGCACAAUGGGCACAAGCCUGAUGCAGCCAUGCCGCGUGUAUGAAGAAGGCCUUCGGGUUGUAAAGUACUUUCAGCGAGGAGGCGUUACUCGCAGAAGAAGCACCGGCUAACUACGGGCCAGCAGCCGCGGUAAUUC